GUAGCGCUGUCUGUCUCACACUCAUAUCUUCAGCUCAUCAUCUCAUGACGUAGAGAUGGAUCAGGACACGGUGAAGGAACAACAUGAGAUCCAGACUGAAGAUCAGAGGACCAGGAAGAAGCUCACAUCUGGACCUGGACCCAGCUGUGUGUCCUUUAGAAGUGACCGGUCCAUUGACAAACUCAUUAACUUCAAAGGAGGUCCAUCUACUGACCCACACAGCUUGGAGGGUGUGGAUGGUUCCUCUGGAGCUGAGCCUGACUCCAUUUUUACGCUUCACUCACACCAAGUGAGAACUGCUUCCAUCAGCCCGCCUCUGGAUAACCACACAGCCUGCAGCAGCCAAUCAGA
rnacentral:lncRNA from 1 species